UACAGAGGGUGCGAGCGUUGUUCGGAAUUACUGGGCGUAAAGCGCGCGCAGGCGGCUUCUUAAGUCUGUCGGUCAAAUGCCGGGGCUCAACCCCGAGCGUGCCGGGGAUACUGGGAGGCUGGAGACAGGUAGAGGCAAGCGGAAUUCCGGGUGUAGCGGUGGAAUGCGUAGAGAUCCGGAAGAACACCGGAGGCGAAGGCGGCUUGCUGGACCUGGUCUGACGCUGAGGCGCGAAAGCGUGGGGAGCGAACAGG
rnacentral:rRNA from 1 species